UGGAUUUGGUGGGACUGAGCCUGGGUUAUAUGCAUGGCAGGAGAAUGAGAGAGACCAAAAAUUGGAUGGUGCCACGAGAAUUUAGCUAUGCCAUUCAUUAAUGCCUAUCAACUACUCUUCUUAUUACUAAAAACAAUAACAUCUCAACUUUCUGUUGUGGUUUCGAAUUGCUCCUAUGGAAGCGGGAACAGAUAGGUCUAAAUUGGCAUUUGCUUUGCUUGCUUUUGUUCAUGCAAAAUUUCAAGAUAAUGUGCUAUUAAUGGGUGGACUACUAUUG
rnacentral:lncRNA from 1 species